GCUGGUGGAGGUGAUGACUCUUUCCCCGUCAGAGAGACAGUGUUGACUUAUCUCUGUCCAAGCCAGGUCGUGUCUGAUGCACCAGC
ensembl:snoRNA small nucleolar SNORD12/SNORD106